rnacentral:rRNA from 1 species
GUGAGGGAUUUUCCGCAAUGGGCGAAAGCCUGACGGAGCAAUGCCGCGUGAAGGAUGAAGGCCUAUGGGUUGUAAACUUCUUUUCUCAGAAAAGAAUUAUGACGGUAUCUGAGGAAUAAGCAUCGGCUAACUCUGUGCCAGCAGCCGCGGUAAGACAGAGGAUGCAAGCGUUAUCCGGAAUGAUUGGGCGUAAAGCGUCUGUAGGUUGUUUAAAAAGUAUUCUGUCAAAGAUUAGGGCUUAACCCUAGAUAGGCAGAAUAAACUUUUAAGCUAGAGUUUGGUAGAGGCAGAGGGAAUUCCCGGUGGAGCGGUGAAAUGCGUAGAUAUCGGGAGGAACACCAAAGGCGAAGGCACUCUGCUGGGCCAAUACUAACACUGAGAGACGAAAGCGAGGGGAGCAAAUGGGAUUAGAAACCCGAGUAGUCC